CAAAAUCUUCAGGAGUUAGAUGGCUCCCUUCACCUCUCCCUGCUAGUUCUGUUCUGGGGGAAAUGAAGAUGCAAGCUGUCUGAAGCAUUGAAUUGAAUACUUUAUCACAUGUAAUUGCUGGAUGCCUGCACCCAGAAGACAGAGUUGAGAAUGCAGUCAACAAAACCAGGUUCAAGCCCCAGCCCUGUCACUUAGGAAGAAGGUUAAGCAAAUCAGCCUGGCAGGAAAAGAUUCUUCUUUGCUGAAACUAACAGCCCCAGAAAAAAA